rnacentral:lncRNA from 1 species
AUGGAUUAAUUUUUCUGCGUCAUUUUUGGACAGAAAAUUUCUGAUUUUUGCAAUGUUACGUAGAUGGAAAAAAGCUGUCCUUGAAACAGUCUUGAUAUGUUCUUCAAAAGAACAUAGUAGUGGUACCACCUCUACUAUCACUACUACUACUACUACUACUACUACUACCACUACCACCACCACCACUACUACUAGUACUACUACUGCUAGUAGUGGUAGUAGUGGUGGUAGUAGUGGUUGUAGUACUAGUAGUGGUGGUAGUAGUAGUAGUAGUAGUAGUAGUAGUAGUGGUACCACCACUACUAUCACUACUACUAACACUACCAGUACUACCACUACUAUUACUGCUACUACCACCACUACUACAACUACUGCAAGUACUACUACUACCACUACUAUCACUACAACUACUACUAUCACUACCACCACUACUACUACCACCACUACUACCAGUACUACCACUACUAUUACUGCUACUACCACCACUACUACUAGUACUACAACUACUGCAAGUACUACUACUACUACUAUCACUACCACCACUACUAUUUCUACUACUACCACCACCACCACUACCACCACCACUACUGCCACUACUACUACCACUACUACUACUGCUAGUACUACUACUACCACCACUACUACUACUACUACUACCACCACCACCACUACUGCCACUACUACUACCACUACUACUACUACCACCACUACUACUACUACUACUACCACCACUACUACCACCACCACCACUAUCACUACUACCACUACUACUACCACUACUACCACCACUACUACUACUACCACUAUCACUACUACUACUGCUACUACUACAACCACUACUACUACUACUACUACUACUACUACUACUACCACCACUAUCACUAUCACUACUACCACUAAUACUACCACUACUACUACUACUACCACCACUUCUACUAAAACUACUGCCACUACCACCACUACUAUCACUAUCACUACUACUACCACUACUACUACCACCACUUCUACUAAUACCACUACCACUACUACCAUUACUAUUACUGCUACUACCACCACCACUACUACUUCCACUACCACUACUACUACUACUACUACUACCACCACCACCACUACUACUACUACUACCACUACUACUACUCUUACUGCUUCUAUUACUACUACUACCACCACAACUAACACCACCACCACCACCACCAAUCACCACUUCUACUUCUACUGUUACUACUGCAGUCACUACUGCUACUACUAUAACUUAUUUCACAACCAGAAAUACUUUAGGAGAAGAUAAUAAGCACACACAAAGUACUUUUCUAUUCUUAUUUUUCAAAAUGUAUUUAAUGUAAUUAGGGGAUAAACCUACUCAAAUAUAGAUUGGUAACCUUUUUUCUAAUUUGGCACACAAAAACUAAAGGCCAUGAGCAACUUGGUCUAAAAGAAUAGCACCGAUUGGCCUAUAGGUGGCGCUGUGAUAAGCAAUCUCACUUAAACCCUCAUAUCCGUCACUCCGUUUGACCUAAAGACUUGAAACUUUGUAUGUAAAUGUUUUUCCCCCACGCUGAACGAAUUUGCCUUCAGUAAGUAUUCACAACUCUUUAAAUUUUUUUCACAUUUUGUUGUAUUACAGCCUGAGAUCUUGUCUCACACACACACAAAACACAAUAAUGUUUGUCUGCUGGUUUCAAAACAACAGGAUGUUUGUUAAGGGCUCAAUUGACUACAAUAUACCACAUGCAACCUGUUGAAAGGUAGCCUGUAAUUUGCGUUCUUUAUCAUUAGUCCGUGAGGCAGCUUGCGCUAACUUAGAGGAUCAUAGAGCUAGCCAGCUUGCAAUCCUAAAAGCCGGAAAUGAGUUACCUUAGGUUUGUUCAGCCAUUCCUAUGGGGGAAAGAAUGGGGUUGGGAUGAACCCUUAAAAUAAGGUCCGUCAUUAACACAGGCUUAAGAGAUUUGAUACGUUUUGUUCUAUGAUAUAAUAUCAGUCAGUUACCAUGACCUUUAUGAAUUAUGAAGCCUUUAUGUGCUUGUUUUGAUUACAUAAAUGAUGUGGGAGUGCCCUGCAGUUAAAUGCUUCUGGGACAAAAUGUACAUUCAUUUAGAAAUGCAUGUGUCACGAUCACUGUCCUCGAACUCCCUGUCGUAAAUAAGCCAAGGCGCAGCAUACCCGUAAUUCCACAUACUUUAUUGAAGGAAAACCGAACAAAACAAAAAACAGGUAAAACAGAAAGAACCGUGACGCUCUGGGGCUGCUCAAAGGCAGCUGCACAAAAACAAGAUCCCACAACUCAAGGAGGGGAAAAGGGCUGCCUAAGUAUGGUUCCCAAUCAGAGACAACAAUAGACAGCUGCCUCUGAUUGGAAACCAUACCUGUCCAAAACAUAGAAAUAAAAUAUAUAGAAUGCCCACCCCAUAUCACACCAUGACCUAACUAAACAGAGAAUAACAGCUCUCUCAGGUCAGGGCGUGACAGCAUGAAUGUAAAUAUUCAAUGUGUUGCAUCUGCUAUGUUAACGAUGAUUGCUCCUUGAAUCUGGCAGUCAGCAAUGCUACAAAAAAAUAUGUUGGCUCUUAGAUAGCAAUCACCCCACUUUCUCCCAAUCCACUAGUUGAUAGUUACUAUUAGAAGUUACAAUUAUCAACAGCGAGAAUGAAUGCUGCUAGUCAAGAAACACUAUAGUCCUGUAGCCUCGCUGGUAGUUUAGUACACCUGGCUGCUCUGGUGAUCUGACUGGUUUGAGUCUCUAUGAUAGAGGGUUCUGGUGCUCUGACAGGUUUGAGUCUCUAUGACAGAGGGUUCUGGUGAUCUGACUGGUGUGAGUCUCUAUGAUAGAGGGUUCUGGUGCUCUGACAGGUUUGAGUCUCUAUGACAGAGGGUUCUGGUGAUCUGACUGGUUUGAGUCUCUAUGAUAGAGGGUUCUGGUGCUCUGACAGGUUUGAGUCUCUAUGAUAGAGGGUUCUGGUGAUCUGACUGGUUUGAGUCUCUAUGAUAGAGGGUUCUAGUGCUCUGACAGGUUUGAGUCUCUAUGACAAAGGGUUCUGGUGCUAUGACUGGUUUGAGUCUCUAUGAUAGAGGGUUCUGGUGAUCUGACUGGUGUGAGUCUCUAUGAUAGAGGGUUCCAGUGCUCUGACUGGUGUGAGUCUCUAUGAUAGAGGGUUCUAGUGCUCUGACUGGUGUGAGUCUCUAUGAUAGAGGGUUCUGGUGCUCUGACAGGUUUGAGUCUCUAUGAUAGAGGGUUCUGGUGAUCUGACUGGUGUGAGUCUCUAUGAUAGAGGGUUCCAGUGCUCUGACUGGUGUGAGUCUCUAUGAUAGAGGGUUCUAGUGCUCUGACAGGUUUGAGUCUCUAUGAUAGAGGGUUCUGGUGAUCUGACUGGUGUGAGUCUCUAUGAUAGAGGGUUCUAGUGCUCUGACUGGUUUGAGUGUUUAUGACAAAGGGUUCUGGUGCUCUGACUGGUUUGAGUCUCUUUGACAGAGGGUUCUAGUGCUCUGACUGGUUUGAGUCUCUAUGACAGAGGGUUCUAGUGCUCUGACUGGUUUGAGUCUCUAUGACAGAGGGUCCUGGGCCCAGAUUCACAAAACCUUCUUAAGAAGAAAUUUCUUCUUAACUGCAAUUUUUUCCUUAACUACAGAUUUAAGAAGAAAGUUAAGCAAAGUUGCUAUUCCUCAAAAGGAUUAUUGGAAAUGCUCUUGCGAUACUUCUUAUGUUUCUCCUCCUCUUUCUCCAGAGGGUUCUGGUGCUCUGUCAUUUGUCAUGUUUUGUCUGUGUUCUAUCUCUUUGUUUCUCCUCUUCGACCUCUCGGUCUGAAUCAGAGUCAGUGAUUGUGACUUCCUCUUGUCUCUGUUCCUGGCUGUUCUGUCAGGUCUGAGAUGCUUUCUGUUUCUGCGGUAGCGAGCUCCGACUGGUGUGAUGACAUCAACAGCAACUGCACCGCCUGCAACUGCAGUGCUCUGCAGAGAGUGGUGCGGUCUGCCCAACACGUCACCAGGGGCAAACUACCUGCCUUCCAGGACACCUACAGCACCCGUUGUCACAGGAAGGCCAAAAAGAUCAAGGACAACAACCACCCGAGCCACUGCCUGUGUUUAUUGUGCGUAUUGUUGUGAAUUGUUAGAUAUUACUGCACUGUUGGAGCUAGAAACACAAGCAUUUCACUACACCCGCAAUAACAUCUGCUAAACAUGUGCAUGUGACAAAUCAAAUUUGAUUGGAUUUCAUAUGAUCUCAGUUCAUCUCUGAUUCUCACUGUUGAUGGCUGCCAUCCUAUUGCCCUCUCCAUGCACACUCUCUCUCCCAGAAUGAAGGAAGUGGUGAUGCCAUUUUGUAGAAACAUGUCUUCUGCUGUGGCUGUCUGUGUUUCAGGCCAUGCUGGACAUUUUUGGGAGUCACUGGCUAAAGGGCUGCUUUAGUUGCAGAUAGGAUGGAGCGUAGGACACGUCCCAUGGGUAGCUGAGCAGGGGAGCACUGGACAGGUGUAUUUCUUAGGUUCAGGAGAGCUAUGUGAGGGUCAACACCUGUUUGUGCUGUGGAUCUCAGCAUGUUUUUCACUAACGGAAUAGUCUUCUCAGACAUUCCGUUUGACUGGGAAAGCCCUGUACUUGAAUUUGUGAUUUUCAAAUCCCACUCUUUUGCAAACUGAGCCAUCUCAGCACUUGCAAAGUGUACAUGGUCUGCAAUACCAUGUCUAGCAAACACCUCAUUCCACUUUGCUAUGACAGUACCUGAUGUCUUGUCCGACAGCCUCCUUUUGGUUGCUGGGAAGUUAUUUUUGACAAGAAGUGCACGACUUGAACAUCAUGCAUACAUCAUCAUUGAGGCCAUCAUUGAGAGCUCUUGCAUUCUCUAAACAAGCGUUGAAUGUCCUGAUGUGCAGUGUGGAGCCCUUUUAAGUACCUCAGCUCUAAAGUCUCUGGGAAUGAUAACGCAUUUGUUUACCAUGAGUAGUCCAUCUUCAAUGUAAAGAAAGUCUCUGAUAUGCCAGUAGGUCUGUGCUUUGAUUGGUGCACUUUUCCUGUCUAGCCAUCCAUCUCUGUGCAGGUUCCUCAGCAGCUGUAUCUCGCUGUCUGUGGCUGCUCUCAGCUGUUGCAUAACAGCGCCCUCCAGUGGAAGAUGUGUGGAAACGGCAUAACUUACUUUCUCAUCACGGAGGUCACACCAUGUCUGGCAGUCUAGGCUACAGGCCUGGAUAGCGUGUCUGCUAUUAACAUGUCUUUACCUGGGGUGUAGACGAUAUGAAUGUAUUAUUUCUGUCUUUGCAGCAGCAUCCUUUGAAGACGUGCAGGCGCCUUUUCAAUGGGCUUGGUGAUUAUAGCCUCAAGUGGUUUGUGGUCGGAUUGAACUCAGACCUGGAAAC